GACGAACGCUGGCGGCGGGCUUAACACAUGCAAGUCGAACGGAAAGGCCCUGCGUUUGUGGGGUGCUCGAGGGGCGAACGGGGGAGUAACACGUGAAUAACCUGCUCUUGACUUUGGGGUAACUUCAGGUAACGAGGGCUAAUACCAGAUCGGAGCUCAUGCUCCAUGGUAGGGGGUGGAACUUUUCGGCGGGCGGGGUUGGACUGGCGGCUUAUCAGCUUGUUGGUGGGCGAGGGGCUUGCCAAGGCUUGGACUGAUAGGCAGCAGGGGAGGGUGAACGGCCACAAUGGGACUGAGAGACGGCGCAGACUCGUACGUGAGGCAACAGUGGGGAAUAUUGCACAGUGGGCGGAAGCCUGAUGCAGCGACGCCGCGUGCGGGAUGACGGCCUUCGGGUUGUAAACAGCUUUCGCCUGUGACGACGCGUGAGUGACGGUAAUGGGUAAAGAAGCACCGGCUAACUACGUG
rnacentral:rRNA from 1 species